rnacentral:rRNA from 1 species
AUUGAACGCUGGCGGCAGGCCUAACACCUGCAAGUCGAGCGGCCGAACGGAGCUUGUUCCUGGUUCUAGCGGCGGACGGGUGCGUAAUGCCUAGGAAUCAUCCUCGUAGUGGGGGAUAACGUCCGGAAACGGGCGCUAAUACCGCAUACGUCCUGAGGGAGAAAGGGGGGGAUCUUCGGACCUCACGCUAUCAGAUGAGCCUAGGCCGGAUUAGCCAGUUGGUGGGGUAAAGGCCUACCAAGGCGACGAUCCGUAACUGGUCUGAGAGGAUGAUAAGGCACACGGGAACGGGGACACGGUCCGGACUACUGAGGGAGGGAGCAGACGGGAACAGUGGACAGUGGUCGAAAAUCUUCUCCAAGCAUGGGGAGUAUGUGUAGAGGGUGCUCGGAUUGUAAAGCACUCUCAGUUGGGAGGAACCGCAGUAAGCUAAUACCUUGCUGUUUUGACGUUACCAACAGAAUAAGCACGGGCUAACUUCGUG